rnacentral:lncRNA from 1 species
GUUGGUCGUGGUCCUGCCCGGAUCGGCUUAGGCGACGCCGGCAUGAAGGAGCGGGAAGCGGGCGGAAGAGGGAGUCACAGGACGGGUUUGGGCGGCCGCCCGGGGCCUGCUCAGAGGGGCCUGGCGCGCGCCGCUCGCUUCCGCCGGGGCUGUGGGGUCUCCCGGCAGGGCCAGGUCCUAGAGGCCGCUCGGCCGUCGUGCCCCGGGAGGAGCCGGAUCUGCAAUGGGGGUGAGGGCGCUUCUGUGGGGUCGCGUCAUCCUCUGUGCUCCUCCCUCCAAGGCUCCAAAGCAGCCUUGUGACUUUUCUCCAGGAGGAAGAGGAUUUCCGCUUUUCCGAGAAAAAUCACAAAGGUUGUUUUGGAGGCUUCUGAAGAGGGGUGCAGGAUGGGCGGAAAGACCCCAUGGAAGUGCCUUUCCCACAUUUUCCGACCCUGGGUAUCCGGGGACCUAUGGCACCAGCCGGCUAUCAUGCAGCCUAGGUGGAUGCGAACAGUGCAGGCCAGGCCUCUCUAAGCACGCCCCUCAGCGGCCCUCACCCAACCCGUCCUUUGAUUCCUUCCCUUUUCCUCCCUCCCAUUCGUGCGAACCUCACCAGAGCUCACAGAGGCUGGAACAGAUGAACUUGAUAUUCUCAUUGUUGCGCAGAGCCCCCAAGGGAAAAGAAUGCAAUGAACAAGUGACUUCAUUUCCGCUUCCUGCUUUGAUCCCGGAACAUGCAAGUCUUCGGCAUUCGAGUCAUCAGAGAAAACAAGUGCACCACCAAAUGGAGGUGAAGAACAUCAACGUUUGAGUGGAUAAAUUUUGAGGAAACCACAUCAGCAGUUGCUCUGAGCUAACAUCUGCCACCAACCCUCCUCUUUUUGCUGAGGAAGACGGGCCCUGAGCUAACAUCUGUGCCCACCUUCCUCUACUUUUUAUGUGAGACUCCUG